rnacentral:tRNA from 1 species
AGGGGUGUAGUUAAAUGGCAUAACUAUGGUCUCCAAAACCAUCAUUGCGGGUUCGAUUCCUGUCACCCCUGCCA